rnacentral:rRNA from 1 species
UAGUCCACGCCGUAAACGAUGUAUGCUAGUUGUUGGUAUCCAUAGGGUAUCAGUGACGUAGCUAACGCGAUAAGCAUACCGCCUGGGGAGUACGGUCGCAAGAUUAAAACUCAAAGGAAUUGACGGGGACUCGCACAAGCGGUGGAGCAUGUGGUUUAAUUCGAUGCAACGCGAAAAACCUUACCACACCUUGACAUGUGAAUCGUACCCUUCUGAAGAGAAGGGGUCAGUUCGGCUGGAUUCAACACAGGUGUUGCAUGGCUGUCGUCAGCUCGUGUCGUGAGAUGUUGGGUUAAGUCCCGCAACGAGCGCAACCCUCAUCCUUAGUUGCCAGCGGGUUAUGCCGGGAACUUUAGGGAAACCGCCAGUGAUAAAUUGGAGGAAGGUGGGGACGACGUCAAGUCAUCAUGGCCCUUAUGGUGUGGACUACACAUGUGCUACAAUGGUAGCUACAAUAAGCUUAGCGAUACUGCAAGGUAAAGCAAANCUUUUAAAAGCUAU